GGGGCCAAUGGUAAUUUUAAGCUCAAGAAGCAGAGGCUGUUUUUUUGCCACUAAAGCAGGCUUACUCAAGCCUAUUCUUAUGAUACCAAUGGAUACAAAACCCAUGUCCUAGGCUGUCUGGCCAUAUUAGCACAUAAACUCUUUUAACUGCAUUUAAGAAUUGAAGUUGUAAGCUUGGCUUGUCUAGACAGUUUUUAUUAUCACUGUUUUACCUGAAAUUUCACAAGAUAUGAAAACUUUUUCACCUUUUUAAACCCCCAAGAAACCCAUUGGUACUUGUUUUGAGCAUUGUACAUUUCCAACUCUAAUCUUCCCGAAUGUUUGCAUUGUAUUGGAUAAGGAUUGGAAUUUUCAGGAAGGUGUUUACAAACAUUGAAGUGUGAGACAGGGAAUUCCACAAGCAGUGUAUUUAACUUAAAGUUGCUUUGCAGCAUUUGCUGAACUUUAAUGGCUCAAGUAUGUUGACCAUAUAUUUGCAAAUGAACCUCUCCGCAGAAAAGAAAACUCUUGACAAUGCAGUUUAUUAUUGCCUGUGAUUCUGAACACAAAAAAUUGUUACCUUCAAGCGCUCUGUGUUUAUUUCUUGCAGUGAUGAUGGUACCUGCAAGCAUGCAAUUGCUGUACUUUUUGCAUUGUGGGACUACAUCGAAAGAAACACUGACAAGGGGACAGCUGUUGGCACAGAUGAGCCUUGCUCAUGGACGAAACCUCAAAGAGCCCCAGGCCAGUGAGAGUAGAGGACUCAAGUGAGCUGGACUUCCAUGCAGAAAAACAGACUCUCAGAAAACCUGGCCCACUUCCUGAGAAUUACAAGCCACUGGGUUUGUGCAGAAACCAGCCCAGAUGCAUUUUACCUGAAAGUGAAUGUUGAGCCACCAUUUAUGCCAUUUAUGGGUGCCUCACCAGAUGGUGUUGCAAGCUGUUCCUGCCAUGGAAAGAAGCUUGUUGAGAUCAAGUGUUCAUAUAAGCAUAGAGGCAUUCCUGUGAAAGAUAUUCCAACACAGGACCCAUCCUACCACUUGGAGACUGUACAUGGACAGCUGCAGCUGAAAAAGUCUUCUGGUUGGUACAGCCAAAUACAAUAUCAGUUAGGUGUGACCCGCAUGAACCAGUGUGACUUAGUGGUAUAUACUCUUAAAGGAAUAACAUCCAUCCCUGUAAUGUUUGUGGGAACUCUUGAAAAAGAGAGAAGAGCUUGUGUUCACUCAUGUUUUUACAUGCAGUGAAGAAUAAAGUAUAUACAUGUAUGUUACAAGCAGAAUUCCAGGCUUGGCAUCAGCAUUUCAGGCCAGUAAUUGCAUGGUUUUGUUUUCUUCAUUUUAUUUUGAGUCCAUCAUGACUGAAACUCUUUAUGAAAGGACCCGAGUACAUGCUUAUUUGUAUGAUAAAACUAAAAGGUUUGUGGCUUGACUGGAAAACAGAGAGCAGAAGUGCAUAAAUAUUUCUUGAACAUCAAUGUGUAUUCUUAACUUACUAUAGUAUAAAUCAAUAUGUAAACAAAGAAAUGACCUGUGUGAGAAGCCAUUGUUUUAUUAUUUCAUAUUUUUCAUGAAUUUCUGUGGGAAACAUGAAUAAAUCUGUACAACCCUAUACUUGGGUUUAAACCUUGGAA
rnacentral:misc_RNA from 1 species